AAAUGAAGAGAGUUGGAAAGCUCCGCCAUAGAAGGUAAUAGCCCUGUAGUUGAAACGAGAAAGCUACUAGUAUGAUCCAGAGUACCACGGGACACGUGAAACCCUGUGGGAAGCAGGAGGGACCAUCCUCCAAGCCUAAAUACUACCUAGUGACCGAUAGCGCAUAGUACCGUGAGGGAAAGGUGAAAAGAACCCCGGGAGGGGAGUGAAAUAGAACCUGAAACCCUGCACUUACAAGCUGUGGGAGCACAUUACUUGUGUGACCGCGUACUUUUUGUAGAACGGGCCAACGAGUUACGUUAAGUAGCAAGGUUAAGCACUUAAGGUGUGGAGCCGUAGCGAAAGCGAGUCUUAAAUGGGCGAUUAAGUUACUUGGCGUAGACCCGAAACCGGGCGACCUAUCCAUGAGCAGGUUGAAGCGAAAGUAAAAUUUCGUGGAGGACCGAACCCACGAGCGUUGAAAAGCUCGGGGAUGACUUGUGGAUAGCGGAGAAAUUCCAAUCGAACCCGGAGAUAGCUGGUUCUCCCCGAAAUAGCUUUAGGGCUAGCCUCAAGCGUAGAGAAACGGAGGUAGAGCACUGAAUGUCCUAGGGGGUAUUGCACUUACCGAAGACUAUCAAACUCCGAAUGCCGUUUUCUUUUACUUGGGAGUCAGACUGUGGGUGAUAAGAUUCAUAGUCAAAAGGGCAACAGCCCAGAUCGUCAGCUAAGGUCCCUAAAUGUACGUUAAGUGGUAAAGGAUGUGGGAUUGCACAGACAACCAGGAUGUUGGCUUAGAAGCAGCCACUCAUUUAAAGAGUGCGUAAUAGCUCACUGGUCGAGUGAUCCUGCGCCGAAAAUUUCCGGGGCUAAAACGUACUACCGAAGCUACGGCAUCAUUUAUGAUGGGUAGGGGAGCUUCGUAUGCAGGCUGAAGCAUGACCGUAAGGACAUGUGGACAGUAUACGAGUGAGAAUGUUGGCAUGAGUAGCGAGACGUGGGUGAGAAUCCCACGGGCCGUAAACCCAAGGUUUCCAGGGGAAGGUUCGUCCGCCCUGGGUUAGUCGGGACCUAAGCCGAGGCCGAAAGGCGUAGGUGAUGGACAACAGGUUGAUAUUCCUGUACCGCCAAUAAGCGUUUGAGAGAUGGAGUGACACAGUAGGAUAAGCUAACCGUACUGUUGGUUAUGUACGGCUAAGCAUUGAGGCAGUCUAAAUAGGCAAAUCCGUUUAGACAAUGCUAGGAUGUGAUGGGGAAGCCCUUCGGGGCGAAGUAGCUGAUUUCACACUGUCAAGAAAAGCUUCUAUCGAGUUUAAAGGCGCCCGUACCGUAAACCGACACAGGUGGGUGAGGAGAGUAUCCUAAGGCCAGCGAGAGAACUAUUGUUAAGGAACUCGGCAAAAUGACCCCGUAACUUAGGGAGAAGGGGUGCCUGUCUAUGACAGGCCGCAGAGAAUAGGCCCAAGCGACUGUUUACCAAAAACACAGGUUUCUGCUAAGUCGCAAGACGAUGUAUAGGAGCUGACGCCUGCCCGGUGCUGGAAGGUUAAGGGGAUCUGUUAGAGCAAUCGAAGCAGUGAACUUAAGCCCCAGUAAACGGCGGCCGUAACUAUAACGGUCCUAAGGUAGCGAAAUUCCUUGUCGGGUAAGUUCCGACCC
rnacentral:rRNA from 1 species